GGGUGUGUAGCUCAAUGGUAGAGUACUAGAGUACCUAGCAUGGUGCAGGCCCUGGGUUCAAUCCCCAGCACUCA
rnacentral:tRNA from 1 species